UCUGCAGCAUCACAGCAGGCUGCCAGCCACAGCGUCUCUGGCACCGACAGCUUGCCUUUAACCCGGGCUCUGGAAGGAAUUGCCCCUGCAAGGAGAUAAAGCUCAGCCUCAGAGCCAAGCUGCCGCCAGCACCCCAUCUAAUCUGCACUGCAAGCCACCUUUCCUCACUGCUUCAAAAAGCUUUUGGGUUGUGUCACUGCCAAAGCACAUCUUCAUUCAGGGAGUCAGCCGUGAGGCCAUCUGUCCAAACAACCUGCAACAGCCAAGGGCAGGAUCCAAGCAGACAGGCUGGAUCUCCUGUCUCCUACCAUGAACUCUGUCCAGGGCCCUGCUGCUUUCUAUAUGUCACUGUCCUAUUCGCAUGAGAAGGAAGAGGAAAG